CAUGACUUUAUACGCAAGUUAAAUUUAAUAAUUCAAUUAUUGUGAAAAAUAUACCUAAUGUAACAUCACGGACUGAAACCCCUCGCCAACGUCGUGUAUCGUACCGGUAAUUUAAAAUUAUAUGGGAUUUUUAAAAUCCCAUAGGGAAAUGGCAAAUGGCUUUAAUAAGUCCGCCCAAGAAUACCAUACCAAUCGCUUGUGUGAGGACGUCGCUCAACAAUUAAACUCCUUAGGAAAAGGGGGUUUUAAAGACUGGAAAGGAUUGUCAAGUUUAAGUGUUAUAAGAUUAAUUACAUAGAUGAAGAUUAUUUGAAACAUAAGAGAAUAAUUAAUAGAUAAAUAUUAUUUGAAACAUAUGAGAUUAAUUACAUGGAUACAGAUUAUUUGAAACAUAUGUCUAAGUGUUAUGGUCAUUUAAUAUUUAAGUAAACAAUUUAUUGUUAGUAUAUAAGUAGCUUUAGAGAUGUAUAAUCAUUAACAUAUUUUGCAUGUCUAAAAUCUUGUUUAUUGUUAAUUUAUAUAAUUAUAUUAAAAAAAGAUAU